CUGCUAAAAACAUCCACAUUGAAAUGGAGAUAUGAACAUUGAUGACAGCAUGUGUUAUGUUUUAUCCUUUGCUUUGUUGUGUACCUGUCAUACUGCUAAUAAAUUUUCCUGUACUUUGCAAGGUGCUUACGUACAUCACAUCGCAAGGAGUCACUGUGUAAUUAGUGGCCUUAAAGGACCAGUGUUAUGGCU
rnacentral:lncRNA from 1 species